GCCGGCAGCCAUAUCACCCUGUAGCCCAAGACUGGUCACCCACUGAAGCUAAGUAGGGUUGAGCCUGGUCAGUACCUGGAUGGGAGACCUCCUGGGAAAACUAGGUUGCUGCUGGAA
rnacentral:rRNA from 1 species